rnacentral:rRNA from 1 species
UACGGAGGGGGCUAGCGUUGUUCGGAAUUACUGGGCGUAAAGCGCGCGUAGGCGGACCUGCAAGUCGGGGGUGAAAGCCCGAGGCUCAACCUCGGAACUGCCUUCGAUACUGCGGGUCUCGAGUCCGGGAGAGGUGAGUGGAAUUCCUAGUGUAGAGGUGAAAUUCGUAGAUAUUAGGAAGAACACCAGUGGCGGAAAGGCGGCUCACUGGCCCGGUACUGACGCUGAGACG